rnacentral:rRNA from 1 species
CGUGUAGGCGGCCCUGCAAGUCGGGUGUGAAAUCCCAUGGCUCAACCAUGGAAGUGCACUCGAAACUGCAGGGCUAGAGUCCUGGAGAGGAAGGUGGAAUGCUUGGUGUAGAGGUGAAAUUCGUAGAUAUCAAGCGGAACACCGGUGGCGAAGGCGGCCUUCUGGACAGUGACUGACGCUGAGACGCGAAAGCGUGGGGAGCAAACAGGAUUAGAUACCCUGGUAGUCCACGCCGUAAACGAUGAGUGCUAGGUGUCACGGGCUUUGACCCUCGUGGUGCCGAAGCUAACGCGUUAAGCACUCCGCCUGGGGAGUACGGCCGCAAGGCUAAA